CAACGGGCAAUGUUAAAUUCAAAUUUCAAAAUGAAGGCCAACGUCACCGUGUUGCAAAAAAAAAAAAAAGAAGAAAGUUGGCGUAAUGGGCCGGUGUGAAUAGCCGUCUUCGUUCUCUCUCGCCCCUAUUAUUGGGUUCUACUGGUGUGAAUAGCCGGUGGUAUUUAGAAAAUACCAGAGAACAUAUACAAAAGAAAUCUCACAAAAUCUUUAAGACAAAAAGGAAGAGUUAAACCAAUGGAUCUAUGCGCCGGAUGUUCAAAUAUCUUGGCUUAAUCAGGAUGUUUGUGGGCGGCGGAAUCUACUAAUUUUUGGGCGGCGAUGUUUUCUCUGGAGAAACGAUCAAUCUGACGGCAUCUGUGGCUUUCCAAACAUUUCGGCGACAAUUCUUCACCGGACGGCAUCUGUGUUUUUUAGAAACCGGAAACUUUAGGUUUUGGGAUGGAGCUAGAACAAAAGAGAAGUAAUCCUAUUGAUUCACAUGAUGGAAAUUAAUCUGUUAGUGGAUUAGAUCAACUUGAACAAAAUGCCGCAGCUAAACCAGUUUCUGUUGAGACAAAAGGGCACCAUGAGGGUAAGCAUAGAGCUAUUUGGUGGUAUGCCAUUUUGACUCUGGCACAUCAUCUCACCCUUUGUAGUAACAUUUUUUAGGGGACAGUGUUGCAUCCGAGAGACACGUCUCCCCUGAAAAGUUGUAUUGGGCAGCUUUGCUGAUACUGUCCUCAAAACUCGAGAAAAGGCACUUGUUUUGAGUUUUGAGAGAUGAUGAGUUAAUGGAGUCAAUCAAGGAACAUAAAGCAAGGCAACCACUUAGAUAACCUUGAGAGGAGGCAACCAACCGCAAGUGUUUUGAGUUUUGAGAAUGGAUGAUGAAAUUUGUAUUAGAGAUUAAUGUAUCAAUUUGAAACUAAGAUGUAUAUUAUUUGUGAUUCCAAUGUAUUAAAUUUUUUGGUAGAAAAAUAUUUUGAAUGGAAAAUGGAUCUUUUAACUUGCAUUUA